GAUGAACGCUGGCGGCGUGCCUAAUACAUGCAAGUCGAACGAACGGACGAGAAGCUUGCUUCUCUGAUGUUAGCGGCGGACGGGUGAGUAACACGUGGAUAACUUACCUAUAAGACUGGGAUAACUUCGGGAAACCGGAGCUAAUACCGGAUAAUAUUUUGAACCGCAUGGUUCAAAAGUGAAAGACGGUCUUGCUGUCACUUAUAGAUGGAUCCGCGCUGCAUUAGCUAGUUGGUAAGGUAACGGCUUACCAAGGCAACGAUGCAUAGCCGACCUGAGAGGGUGAUCGGCCACACUGGAACUGAGACACGGUCCAGACUCCUACGGGAGGCAGCAGUAGGGAAUCUUCCGCAAUGGGCGAAAGCCUGACGGAGCAACGCCGCGUGAGUGAUGAAGGUCUUCGGAUCGUAAAACUCUGUUAUUAGGGAAGAACAUAUGUGUAAGUAACUGUGCACAUCUUGACGGUACCUAAUCAGAAAGCCACGGCUAACUACGUG
rnacentral:rRNA from 1 species